UACGUAGGGUGCAAGCGUUGUCCGGAAUUAUUGGGCGUAAAGAGCUCGUAAGCGGUUUGUUGCGUCGGCUGUGAAAUCCCGAGGCUCAACCUCGGGUCUGCAGUCGAUACGAGCAAACUAGAGUGUUGCAGGGGAGACUGGAAUUCCUGGUGUAGCGGUGAAAUGCGCAGAUAUCAGGAAGAACACCCGUGGCGAAGGCGGCUCUCUGGGACGGUACUGACGCUGAGACGCGAAAGCGUGGGGAGCGAACAGG
rnacentral:rRNA from 1 species